CACAUUCACUGUUACCUCAGCUGGCCUCGGCUGGGUCCUGUUGUUGUCUGAUUGGCUCUGCGGAACUCACCUUUCACCAUCAUGGGGCUGGGAGUGAAGGCAGUCGCCUGAAGCAUCCUGCCGUUGUUAACAGUGAUGUAGGCCCAACCUGGUAGACCCCUCAUCUGAAGCCAGGUGUGACUCAGCUGGAGGGCGAGGGAGGCGUUGGAGCGCUGGUGCUGUCCUGCAAGGCCCAGGUGCAAAGGUUUACAUUCCGCCUGGUAGUCCUCCAGCUGUGGACACAUCCACAGUGGACACUGCAACAACAGGUUAGAGAGAGUUAUAGAAAGUUGAAGCUUCACUUUCCUGUGUGAUCUGACUGAAAGUGGACUUACCCCGAUCUCUUUGGCCCGUUGCUCGAGCACGGGCAUGGCGCCCUCUGGCUGUCUGAUGGUGAAGGCGGGGACUCCAGGCUGCAAACACAAAUAUGCAGCAUUACUAAAAAAAGCACGCAUUCAGACUGAAUCAGUGACUCACUCACUACUGUGAACACACCUUGAAUAUGCCCGCUUUGUGCCAGGCGAUCUUUUCGAUGGUGUCUCCCAGAAUAUCAGUGUGGUCUAUGUCCAGGAACGAGAUGCCACACACCCACGGCCUCCUGUCGAAACACACAGGCAUGAUAGUGACAACCGAGACUGUACACUGAUCAAAUUUCUCUGUACAACACAAAUAAAUGGUCUGUGUACCCAAA